CUGGCGGCGUGCCUAACACAUGCAAGUCAACUUGACUGAAGGAGCAAUCUGACAGUAGAGUGGCGCAAGGGUGCGUAACGCGUAAGUAACUUGCCCAAGGUAAGGAAUAACGUCGAGAAAUCGGCGCUAAUACCUCAUAAUGCAGCGGAUCCGCAUGGAUAUGUUGUUAAAGGUUUACCGCCUUGGGAUAGGUUUGCGUCUGAUUAGCUAGUUGGUGUGGUAACGGCACACCAAGGCUACGAUCAGUAACUGGUCUGAGAGGAUGAUCAGUCACACUGGAACUGAGACACGGUCCAGACUCCUACGGGAGGCAGCAGUGAGGAAUAUUGGGCAAUGCUCGAAAGAGUGACCCAGCAACGCCGCGUGGAGGAUGAAGGUAUUCUAUAUCGUAAACUCCUGUGAGAGCAGACGAAAGACAGAUUAUUAAUCUGGAUGACUGUAUGCUCAGAGGAAGCCCCGGCUAACUACGUG
rnacentral:rRNA from 1 species